GGCUGGCACACGUGCAGGUAAAUUCGGGAUCCCAAAGAGGAUGGUCUGGUGUAUCUUAUGCUAAAGGAGAUAACAAAGGAAGCAUUGAAGCUCCUUUCAUUUCAUCUAGAGGAAUCAAACAGCUCUUAUCAUGACUGCACCUUUGGUACUCCCGGGACAUUUCAUUUAUUUAGGAACGUUUCUAAGCAAAGAAGACUAUUCAACCACAAAGGGGAAAAGGCAGAGACAAAAAGGCUGAUCUUUCAUCUCUCAGCAGGCCUGAGGUGUGUACUGCUUCUCCACAAGCUUGCAGAACUUCAAAAAGCAGCGUCCAUGUCUGGGAGAGCUCUCAUCGUCCUGUUCAGCACUCUCAUCACACACCGACUGCAUUUACAUUCACUGGAUAAGCAUCUUACUGUGAACUGUAUAUAUUCUGCUUCAUUUGUGUCUGUUUAUCCACAAACACAGAGUUCCUCCUGCAGCCCGCCUCCAUCCACCCUCAUGUGAGGGGACGUGUCCUGGGAACGGUGUGUCCAGAUGUUAGAUGAUCUUAUCAAAAACACAUUGCAUAUAGGCAUACUAAAUUCACUUGGCAACCCUUGGGGCUGAAAAAUUGAAGCCAAAAUGGAAGUUGAAUUGGAGAGCCUAUGGGAAAUGAAUAUCUAUUACCUCAGAAAAGAUUGUCCUAAUGACUAUAUGGUCUCAAUAGCUAAUUCAAGUCUUUUUCAAUACAGAAUGAUGAUCAUUUUAUAAUUGAUGAUCCAAUUUAAAGUAAAACCAGGGUAUGCUUCCGUAUUGUGUGUGACUUGAGUUCAUGAAUGUGAAUGGUAACGUUAUGGUAGACUUAAAAAUGUCUUGUACUGCGUUGAGUUGUACUGUUCUCCCGGCCUCGACACUUCUAAUUCCAAAUAACCAAGAUGGUGACGACCAAAAUGCCCAACUGUAAGAUUUCACAACCGUAUAUAUUAAGCGUCUUUGAGCACCUGUAAAAGUGCUAACAAAAUAAAUCUAUUAUUAUUAUUAUAAAGUAUAUAACUGUAACCUAGGAUCAGCCACAGUCUCAUCCCUCCUCGGCACACCACAAAGCACUGGACCCUGCUUUGUGCCAGUAGGCAUCAGGCUCCACAAUAAUAGGCUUGACCCCCCCCAUAAAAACCCAUUUAAAUACAUACAAUGUAACAACCUGCACUGCAUGUACUUAUGACUUGCACCUGGACUCCCACUCACAAAUUGAUAUAUAUUUAACAUAUCUAUAAUUAUACUGUAUAUAUUUAAACACCUUUAAUUUUUAUUUAUAGCAUCAAUGACCUUUUUUUAUUUCAUACAUUCCUUUAUUUAUAUUACUAUUAUUAUCAUUCUAGUGUGAAUUCAUAUCUAUCUUAUCCUGUGUUUCACCCUUAUUGCUGUUGCUGCUAAGAACCCUGAAUUUCCCAAUGAAAAUCAAUAAUGCUUUAUCUUAACUUAUCUAAUGGUGUAUGUUAAUAGUAGUUGCUGUUGUGUCUAUGUAUGUCAAAUACAGAAUUGUUCUUUAUUUAAAA